rnacentral:rRNA from 1 species
UGCGUAGGCGGGGUGGUAAGUCAGUGGUGAAAUCCUGCAGCUUAACUGUAGAAUUGCCAUUGAUACUGCCAUUCUUGAGUACGCUGGAUGUGGGCGGAAUGUGCCGUGUAGCGGUGAAAUGCUUAGAUAUGGCACAGAACACCGAUAGCGAAGGCAGCUCACAACGGCGAAACUGACGCUGAGGCACGAAAGCGUGGGGAUCGAACAGGAUUAGAUACCCUGGUAGUCC